rnacentral:rRNA from 1 species
GUGCCAGCAGCCGCGGUAAUUCCAGCUCCAAUAGCGUAUAUUAAAGUUGUUGUGGUUAAAAAGCUCGUAGUUGAGCCUUGGGCCUGGCUGGCCGGUCCGCCUCACCGCGUGCACUGGUCCGGCCGGGCCUUUCCCUCUGUGGAACCCCAUACCCUUCACUGGGCGUGGCGGGGAAACAGGACAUUUACUUUGAAAAAAUUAGAGUGCUCCAGGCAGGCCUAUGCUCGAAUACAUUAGCAUGGAAUAAUAAAAUAGGACGCGCGGUUCUAUUUUGUUGGUUUAUAGGACCGCCGUAAUGAUUAAUAGGGACAGUCGGGGGCAUCAGUAUUCAACUGUCAGAGGUGAAAUUCUUGGAUCAGUUGAAGACUAACUACUGCGAAAGCAUCUGCCAAGGAUGUUUUCAUUAAUCAGGAACGAAAGUUAGGGGAUCGAAGACGAUCAGAUACCGUCGUAGUCUUAACCAUAAACUAUGCCGACUAGGGAUCGGACGGUGUUAUUCAUGACCCGUUCGGCACCUUACGAGAAAUCAAAGUGCUUGGGCUCCAGGGGGAGUAUGGUCGCAAGGCUGAAACUUAAAGAAAUUGACGGAAGGGGCACCACCAGGGGUGGAGCCUGCGGCUUAAUUUGACUCAACACGGGGAAACUCACCAGGUCCAGACACAUAAGGAUUGACAGAUUGAGAGCUCUUUCUUGAUUUUGUGGGGUGGUGGUGCAUGGCCGGUUCUUAGGUGGUGGGGUGACUUGUCUGGCUUAAUAGCGAUAACGAACGAGAACCUUAACCUGCUAAAUAGCCUGCAUUGCUCCGGGCAGUGCGGCUGGGCUUCUUAGAG